GGCCGAACUAGCUCAGUUGGUUAGAGCGUCGUGCUAAUAACGCGAAGGUCUUUGGGUUCGAUCCCCACGUUGGCCA